CUUCAGCUCGCCAAGCAUAAAGAGUGCAAAGCGGUAUGGAUCACCACUCCAUGGGAACUGACGUGGGGGAACCAGGAGCCCAUAUGGCCGCUGUCACCCGCUGCUCUCUCUGCUGUUCCCACACCGAGAAUCCAGAGUCUGGCGGAGCCCAAACGAGACGUGUCUUUGAGCACCGACCCCCCCAGGAAUGCCGAGGACGGGGAACACCCCGCACGAGGUUCACGCACCACUUCCACGGCCGCGCGGUACGAGCAGCUCGCGCGACUGGCCACCCCCAAGAACAGGCCCCACGACUGCCAGGAACCUGGGUACGAGACAAGGAGGACACCGUUACGACAGCGAGGCGUGGCCUCGAAAAGCAGUAGGGGGUCCCGCGAGGCGGGAAGCGAGCAGAUCAGCUCCUGACGCGGGAGUAAAGACUUGUGUGAGCGACUACACAAUAGAGCCCAUUGUCUGAGCUCGAGGCUCCGGGGACGUUUUCUGACCGAAGCGGAAAUCUUUUUAUAAACCCAAAAUCAUGUUUUCUUCUGCUCAUACAUAUUUGAGGUCAAGACUCGCAGAAAGAGGAGUUAGACAAUGGGGUGAUGUUUUUUUGGUCGCACCGGGUGGCUCUGCGGUCGAGCCCUUUGUUUCCCCUUCAGCAAGUGCUCAGAUGUGUUCCAACCUGCAGGCGGCUGCUCGCGACGUGGGGCCGACGGGACCGUAGCACCGCGGUAAAGGUUACGGGGGUCUUGCCACGCCUCCUCCAGCUUGCCAGCCCCAAAAAGCUGCACCCUAAUUUCAGGGGCGACCGGGAGCCAGGGGAAACGCUCGUCCCUUUCUCCACGAGCGGAGCGCAGAUCACACCCAGGCUGGACCACCUGUCCCUGCCCAAGACCAGGGCAGGUGGCCUGUUCUUUGAGCUGGGACGACCAGAGGAGCCCAUCAGGCCAGUCUCCGAAAACGCCAGGCGGGCCACGGUGACCCCCCGGAUUAAAGACUUGGCCGUAGCAAGAAGCCUGUCGAAAGAUUAUGUGCCAAUGCGAGAUCCAGUCUGGAGGGGAACGAAGGGGAAGAGCUGAGGGGAGAUGGCGCAAAUGCUUCUUCCCGGUUUUUGCUCUGACAUUUACACCGGCGAAUUAAUUUUUAACUACUUCCUUCAUUUAGCGGACACUUUUCUCUAGUGUGACAUGCAGCUCAGAGCAGAGAGGCGCGUGCAUCAAUAACAGAUGAAGAACUUUAGACACAGACACGUAAUUAUUCACACGCGGCUAGUCUGUCCGAUACCACCAUGUUGCUGGUUCACAUCCCUCAAGU